UUUCGCUGUGUCACCCAGGCUGGAGUGCAGUGGUGCAAUCUGGACUCACUGCAACCUCUGCCUCCUGGGUUCAAGCAAUUCUGUCUCAGCCUCCCAAGUAGCUGGGAAUACAGGCACCCAGCACCACACCCGGCUCACUUUUGUAUUUUUAGUAGAGAUGGGGUUUCACCAUAUUGGUCAGGCUCAUCUUGAACUCCUGACCUCAAGUAGUCCACCCACCUUGGCCUCCCAAAGUGCAGGGAUUACAGGUGUGAGCCACUGCACCCUGCCGGAUUGAAAUUUUCUCAUACACAGAACAGUACUUGGCAGGUGGAAGGUGCUGAGCCAAGAUUUAGUCGACUGGAUGAAUUAUAAAACUAGCCCCCCACACCCACCCGGCUCAGAACUUUCCACUAUGAUUCUGUAUACCCGGGUGGGGCUGGGGGCCAGGGCAGGGGUAGGUGAAAACAUGCAGCAUUUUCUGAACUUGUUCUGUCAGAAAACCUUCCAUUUAUAGAGCAUCUUGGGCUGGUGUACUCCAGGCCAUCCUUAGAGAAGUGCAUGCAUGUGAAUUGUGUGUGUCUCUGCAUGUAUGAAUGCAUGUCUGUGUGGAUGGUGCAUCUGUAUCUUUGUGCAUAUGUAUGUCUGUGCGCAUGUGGGUAUGUGUGUGUCUGUGGUAUACAUCCACCCUCCUUCCCCUCAUAUCUACCACUCAAAGAGGCUGUGGGUGGGGACGGAGUUGCCUCUGGCACCAUUGAUUUUGCCUCCUCUCCUGCCUUGAUGGACAAGUCUAUCCAGAAAUUCCCUAUUUUCUGGCGCCGGUCUUUCAGCACCAUGGACAGAGAUUCCCCCCCCCCCCCCACCCCACCCCCCACCCCCACCCCCACAGCUGAGUCUGGGAUGAUGGAGCUCAGUUUAAUCCAUACGCGUUCCCUUUUAACGCCUCCCGAUCAGUUCGAAGAGGGUAUUGUUCCUAUUUUACAGAUAAGGGAACAGAGGCUUUGGGGAGGUUAAAUAGUCCUCCAGGCUCUCACAGCUGAUAAGUAGCAGAGCUUAAUAGUCAGAAUCUAAUGCCAACACUUAGAUCAGUCUAUCUGUACCUUAUGGGAUGCUUGUGAAGUGGGGUGGCCACUAGCCAUGACAGCAAGUAGACUGUGGACGGACAGCCUCAUUCAGGCUGGUGGGGACUCUGGCAGGGGGAUUUGGAUCAGCAAUUGAUGUUUGGUCACAAAUAAGAUUUUUUUAAAAAAAGUAAUGGAUACUUUGAGGAAGAGAUUACUUACCAAAUCUCAACUCCCAAAUUCCUCAUUCUUCUUCCUGCAUUAUCCCUUGAAAUACUCAGUGAAUCUACAAGUGGGUUUAAAACGUAAAUUUAUCAGGCUGGGUGCGGUGGCUCAUGCCUGUAAUCCCAGCACUUUGGGAGGCCGAGGCAGGCAGAUCCCUAAGGUUGGGAGUUGGAGACCAGCCUGAACAACAUGGAGAAACCCUGUCUCUAAUAAAAAUACAAAAAAUUAGCUGGACAUGGUGGUACAUGGCUAUAAUCCCAUCCACUCGGGGGGCUGAGGCAGGAGAAUUGCUUGAACCUGGGAGGCAGAGGUUGCGGUGAGCUGAGAUCAUACCAUUGCACUCCAGCCUGGGCAACAAAAGCAAAACUCUAUCUCAAUAAAUAAACAAACACAAACAAACAAAUGUGCUCCAGCCUGGGCAACAAGAGUGAAACUCUGUCUCAAAAACUAAAAUAAAUAAACACAAACAAGUGUGCUCCAGCCUGGGCAACAAGAGCGAAACUCUGUCUCAAUAAAUAAAUAAAAUAAAUUUAUCAAAUGAAA
rnacentral:lncRNA from 1 species